GCUGGGAUAGCUCAGUCGGUAGAGCAUGAGACCCUUAUUCUCAGGGUUGUGGGUUCAAGACACACGUUGGGUG